rnacentral:lncRNA from 1 species
UGUAUGUGUGCAUGUGUGUGUGUAAGUGUGUGCAUGUGUGUGUGUCUGUGUGUGAGUGUGGCACAUAACUGCCAGUCUCACAUAACAACCUCUCUUGACAUAGAAACAGACAACAGCUUGUGACCCUGGGUCCUUUGGUUUGGGAUCAGGACAACCCAACAGGAUGUCUUGCCUGCCCACCAUGUCUGAAAGAACUGGAAUCUAAGAGACACUCAGGUAGCCAAGGAUCCUCCACUCAGCCUAGCCAUGGCCAUGGAUGACUCAAAGGUCGGCUCAUCAAGUGCCAUCCAGAUCCACUGUGUGCAGUAGCUUCCCCAAUACGGAUGGCCUCCCUGCAACAUGGAGCCUGGAUCCUAAGAAGCAGCAUCACACAGCCAGGAAGGAGUCAAAACAGGCAAGAGGAAACAACUGGAUUUGAAGUCUGCCCCAAACCAUAAGGUCAUCUGUGACUUCAUUCUCGAGGAAAGUGUGAGGCUCCUCAAGAUGGAGAAUGCUCUGUCAUGGUUCAGAUGACAAUUGCAGCCAGCACCUGAGCCUGGGGGAACUGAGCCUGAGACUCAAGAGGGGUGAGCCCAUCCCUGCUGUUAUCAGUAUCCGGUAGCCCGAAGGCAAUCACCUACACAGCGCCUUACAAUGUAGACUUCGCUUCCUUCCUCAAAACUGGCAUCUCAGCUGCUUGAAGGGGCCAGAUGUCCUAAGGAAUUAACUACCCCAGCACCAUGUACUCGGAGAGCCUCUGAUAAUUGAUGACCGUUAUUAAUCUAAUUAUCUUUCUGAUGUACAUUGUGCUUGUCAACAUAUCUGUGAACGUUUUGUAGAUGAAGAAUGGAGAAGUACAGUAUGUGAGUUGCCAGGACAUGCCAGGUCUCUGCCAGGAUAUAUAUGUAUGUAUGUAUGUAUGUAUG